CACGUAGGCACCAAGCGUUAUCCGGAUUUAUUGGGCGUAAAGAGCUCGUAGGCGGUUCGGUAAGUCGGGUGUGAAAACUCUGGGCUCAACCCAGAGAGGCCACCCGAUACUGCUGUGACUAGAGUGCGGUAGGGGAGCGGGGAAUUCCUGGUGUAGCGGUGAAAUGCGCAGAUAUCAGGAGGAACACCGGUGGCGAAGGCGGGUCUCUGGGCAGUAACUGACGCUGAGGAGCGAAAGCGUGGGGAGCGAACAGG
rnacentral:rRNA from 1 species